GACGAACGCUGGCGGCGUGCUUAACACAUGCAAGUCGAACGGAAAGGCCCUGCCUGCAGGGUACUCGAGUGGCGAACGGGUGAGUAACACGUGGGUGAUCUGCCCUGCACUUCGGGAUAAGCCUGGGAAACUGGGUCUAAUACCGGAUAGGAGCCAUUUUUAGUGUGAUGGUUGGAAAGUUUUUUCGGUGUAGGAUGAGCUCGCGGCCUAUCAGCUUGUUGGUGGGGUAAUGGCCUACCAAGGCGGCGACGGGUAGCCGGCCUGAGAGGGUGGACGGCCACAUUGGGACUGAGAUACGGCCCAGACUCCUACGGGAGGCAGCAGUGGGGAAUAUUGCACAAUGGGCGCAAGCCUGAUGCAGCGACGCCGCGUGGGGGAUGACGGCCUUCGGGUUGUAAACGCCUUUCGCUAGGGACGAAGCUUUUUGUGACGGUACCUAGAUAAGAAGCACCGGCUAACUACGUG
rnacentral:rRNA from 1 species